AGGCCAUACCUUCUAAUAGUGCCACUCCCUGUGAGCUUAUGGGGGCCAGUUACAUUCAAACCACCACAGACACUAAAUAUCAACAAGAAUGUAGAGAAAGUGAGGCACUCACAACACUGAUAUGAGACUGUAAACUGAUACAGCCACACUGGGAAAUUGUUAACAGUUUUGUUUUCAAAUAAGUAAAUAAAUAACCAAGCAAACAAACCAAGCAUACAGAUACAGUGCAACACAAUGGUUCUACCCUUCAGCACUUACUCCAGAGAAAUGUAAAUUUAUGUUUAUAUAAAAACAUAAAAAUCAUUUGCAGCAGUGUUAUUCAUUUGGAAACAAUCUAGAUACCCUGCAGUGGGUAAAUGGUUCAUCAAAUGAUAGUGCAUCCAUUGUUUAUUAUGGUGGAAUAGAGUUCUACAAUAAGUCAAUACACAGGUGCAGGUGCAUGAAAGGAAAAAAAGGGAGUAAAGACCAGACAUACGAGGGCCUUGUGGUGAUGGAACCAAUUUAUAUCUUGACCCUGUCAUUGAUUACAUGAAUACACAUGUAGUAAGAUUAAAUUAUAUAUAACUAACACUCAAAUACAGUCACACACUCAAAUUACUGCAUGUAAAACUGCAGAAAUCUAAAUAAAUAUAAUCAAUGCAUUUUCCAGUUUUUAUGUAGGAUGAUAAUAUUGUGGGAAACUCAGCUAUGGUUAAUUAUACAAGAUCUUUCUAUAUCAUUUCUAAUAACAGCAUGUGAGUCUCAAUUGUCUCUAAAAAGUUGAGUACAUAAGAAAAAAAGAGGAAGCGAGUGCUUUUUCUGGGAGAUCUCAAACAUUUUGAGCCAUCUUAUGCUUUGAACAGGGAAGUUAUACAAUAAAAAUCAGAUCAUACAUCGAAUGUAUAAUUGUAUAAAAUUAUACAUCUGAAUUAUAUUAAGAGCUAUACCUCGUCAUUUGGCAAGACUCAAAGAAGCACAUUGUGUAUUAGCUCCUGCUUUGGGUUUAACAUGCAUCUUUUAGGCUACCCCCUGCCUUUUUUCUGACCAAGAGGCAAAUACUCUUCAGAGCUGCUCUGGAGUCUCAAAUGAGGAGCCUGUUAGCUUUUCAAGGCAGUUGCCUUCCAAACAUUCUUCAAGCACCUGCUGGAGUCUUUGCAACUUCACAGAAAGAUUUUUGUUUCGUCUUUAUAAGUUGUUUUCUAGUCACAUGCAGAAAGUUCUGUUUUGAUCCAAUUCCCAACCACUCUUUGACCUUUAACAUGACAGAGAAACAUAUUUUUAGUGUCUCUACAAUCUAUAAUAAAAUUUUAAUGAGAGGAGUUUUCUCAGAGCUAGAUUAUCUGACUUCCCAGAACAAGGUGAUUGUCGCCUCUUCUCAAUCGCUUUUCAUAACAUUCUGCCCGGGACUGACAUUGUACAUGCUCAACCACCAGCAUUUAACGCUCUCGGCUCUAAAACCCUGCAACCUGUAACAACGUGUUGAAGUUGAUGCAUACAUAGGCAAUAAAAAGCAUUCAUUUUAAGAAUAAGUUUAAUGCAAGUUGGCAAAUAAAUUCACCUCUGCAUGGACAUCAUCUGACACAGAACUCGCUAUCACUGCCACGGAGUUCCCUGGGUUGUGUUCCCCAGCUCCCAGACCAGGGAAACCAUUUGUUUUCUAUCACGAUUGAUUCUGCAUGUCCUAUAAUUUCACUUUAAGGGAAACGUGAAAUGAAUAUUCUUUGGGGUCUAGCUUCUUUGACUCAGCAUACUGCUUUUAAAUUUUGUCUAUCCACUUUUAUUAGUAAUUAUUCAUAUUAUCAAGUCAUUUUACCUCACUAUAUAAAUUUGGUAGCUUGAAAGUAUUAAAGAAGCUACAAUGGGGGCAGUGAUAGAUGGCUCAGUGGUUAAAGUGCUUGCUACGCAAUCACCAUGGCCUGAGUUUGGAGCCUUAAAACCCACAGGAGAGAUGGCUCAAUGGUUAAGAGCACAGGAUGCUCUUCCAGAGGACCCAGGUUCAAUUCCUAGCACCUACGUGGGAGCUUAUGACUGUCUGUAACUCCAGUGCCACAGGAUGUAACACCCUCAAAUGGACAUCCAGGCAGGCAAAACACCAAUGAACAUAAAAUAAAAAUAAGUAAUAAAAUAUUUUUUAAAAAAGAAGUUGGGUCUGGCUGGGAAUGGUGCCCACCUCUCCUUCGAGGCCAGUCCACACUCAUAGCAAGUUCCAGACCAGUCAGGGAUACCCAAUCAGACCCAGUCUAAAACAUAAAAAAAAAUUAAAUUAAAUUAAAAAGAUCUAAUUCUUGGGAGUUGGAAGUAGAAGGAUUCUGGUGACCUGCUGGUCAAUGAAUUCCACAUUUAGUGAGAGAUUCUAUCUCAAAACCAAGGUAGAACGCAAUUUCAGGAACAUAUUCCACACCAAUCCCCCAAUUCCACACAUGCUCAAAGGUUUGCAUGCACCCACACAUACCACAGACAUGCACACCAAAAAAAUAAUAAACUACUCUGAACAUCCAUCUGUGUGCUUCUACAUGGAAUCACACAUUCAUUUCUGAUGGCUACAUGGGAUAGGAAAACCCAUUGAUUAUUUACUUAACUUUAUAAGUAACUUCCAGACUGUUAUACCUUUUCAUAAGUAGCAUAUAGAGUUCAAUUACAGUCUUCCUUAUUUUUUUUAAUUUUAUCCAUUCUAGUGGGUGCCAUAUAUAAUUUGGUACUAAUGAAUAACGAUUUCCACAUCUUGCUUGUUAGUCCUCAAGUACUUUCUCAAAUAAUUUUUAAAUUCUCUCUCUCCCUCCCCCUCCCCCUUCUCUGAUAUUUGGACCUAGGGCCUCAGAAAGUACAUCCUAGGUAAAUGUUCCAUCACUAAGCUCUAUGUCUACCCACUGCUUCUCUACACAGUACUGAGUUUACAUGCUCUAGAUAAGCCUCUUUGUCAGGGACAUUCUUGUUAACAUUGCCCCUAAUCCAUGCUUAUAUUUUUAUUUCAUUUAAGAAUACCUUUGAAGAGUGUAAUUUUUAGCUUUAAAAACAUGCAACUUAGCAGUUUUUAAAAAAAAAAAACUUAUUAUUUGUUCUUUAUGUAUCUUGUCUGCUUGUCUUUCCUACCCUCAAAUCGUGACUAUUUUCUCCUGCUUUUGUUUAGAGGUGUUAUAGCUUCAUUUCUCAUCUUUAGGAUUAUGAUGCAUUUUAAAGCUCCUUUAACUUAAAGAAUAAUAAAAGCUAGAACUCAGCUCCCUCAGUCUCCACUAAUGUUGAAUUUACUUAAUUGGAGAUCCAUUUGCUUUAGAACCUAAUAAUUACCCAACAAUGUAAAAACACUCUGAUCUAUUGAUGAGGAGUCCAAAUGCAUCAGCUACUUGGGUUUCUUUUUAACAAUGUGUACAUAUUUCAUAUCUAUCAGGACAAGAGUAUUGACUAUAAGAACUCCUGUUCUUACCAACGGUUCCAUCCUUGGCUCUCCCACUUUUGAAAUGCUCACAUAUCAGCAGACUGCACGAAAAGGAAGUAACGCCACUCACAAGCUCAAAAGCUCAAGACACUGAUACACAAGGUUAUUUGUGCCCCAAUUUGAAGAUCACUAUUAUGGAAGAUAUCAGGAUGACAUCAAACAAUGAUGAAUGUCCAAUAGGCCCCAUGAGUAAGUCACUAGAAGGAGGUCAGUAAGAGUGUAGCCUCAGUAGCUAUAUACUAAUGUGCACAUAAUGAAUAACAGUGGAUCCAAAAUCAUAAGCGACUGGCAUAGCCUCACCCGGAACACCAUGACUAACAAAUAAAAUGAGAGGAUGAAAAGCUGAGGCUUCCAAAGAAGCAGAAAUAUUUGAGGUAAGAACAAGUAGGACCAUCUGUCAUAUAUAUCCUACAUACUUGGUCACACUGAGGGAGUGAUUCAAACCUCAGACCCCUGCAUGCCACUUACCACCUACCUAGUCAGAGUCUCUGAGGAUAGGCUUGAAAAUUGUUUAUACUAAUCCUGGACUUACGGUCUUCUAUGCUUUGAAAAUGUUCUACUUAUUUUUGAGAUUAUGACUAUAUCAUUUCCCCCUUUGCUUUCCUCCCCUCAAGCCCUCCUAAUACCCUCUUGCUCAGUUUCAUUUUCAUGGCCUCUUUUCUCCUUACCUAUUGCUACACACAUGUAUGUAUGUGAGUACACAUCUAUAUUCCUAAAUACGUCCGGUUCUAUGUAAUGUUACUUGUAUGUAUGAUCUCAGGGCUGACCACUCGAUCUGCCAUGUGUUAAACCACUCAGCACCAUCUCUAUAAUUUCAAAGGAAAAAUUCAUCACUGAGCUUUGGAGCAGGGCAUAGAUGAGGAUGGUUACUUGGAGCAGAAACAAAGAAGAAAUAAGCCCUCUGCUAAGGGCAGAUGGUAUAAGGUUAACAGAUGACAGACGGAACAUGGAACAAUCUCACUGCUAUUAUGCUUCCGUUAAUCUGUCCAGAUGACCUUAAAUGAGUGAAAAUGAAAAUACUUGUCAAAAUGCUAGAUACAAAGGCAGCUAUUCUGAGUGUUUAAGGAGAAUGGGGAAUACCUGGCUCUUGUCAGUCAAUAACGUAACUGACAUAAAUAAUGAUUGAAAACUGACAGCUACAUGAUGUGAUUUAGAAGUUUCGAGCUCCAACAAAUGAAAAGGUGAGAAGUAUCAAUUUUGCAUUUAAUGGUAAUUUUUAUGUAAUGUAAUUGAACUUCUACUCAUUGCAACAAACCUUAUAACAAUUGUAUUAGCAAUUAGUGAGUCAUGACAUAAAUAACACCUUUAAUUGAGUACUUAUUUUUUUAGUAUAGUUGCAAUUCUGCCUCUAAAUUGGGUUCGAUUUGGCACUAUAGAAGACUAGAUUUACUCUUCUAUCUUCUGUCUUUUUUGAGUAAUUGUAUAUUUUAAACAUACAAAGAUAGAAGGGAAAACAUGAGGUAAUUGAUGAUGGAGAAUUUUAGCUGGUCAUGGCCCAUGGAAAUGAUGAACCCUAAUUUUGGAAGGUGUGACUUUUCUGGAACCACAAGUAAAGGCAGUAUAUGUUCAUGAAAAUAGUGAGAAAUGUCUGUUCUAAACGGCCCUGGGAAAAUCAAGGCAUCACAAAAUAGUUUUUCAGGAGACUCUCUUUGACUUGAUACUUAACACUUUUUUAUUUGUACAAAUCAACUACCUGACUCUACUGCAAAUUACAGUCUUUGCCACUCCAAGUUUAUUUCUGCAGGUUGAAAUCUGUGGUGGAAUCAGUAUGGAUGGUUUCCUGUAUCCACAUAAUUGACCCCUGACCUCAAAGCAUCUGCCGAGCCAACAUUUUAGAGGAUCAACUAUUGUAAGCCUGUGACUUCAUACCAAGGAAAAUGUAAGAAUUGUCUUUAAGACUUUUCCUCCAAAUGAUGCUCCCUACUGUUUUCCCCUCUUACGGAGCAAAUCCAGGUAAUUUUUAAAAUAGUUAUUAUUUUUUAUCAUUAAACUAU